rnacentral:rRNA from 1 species
UGGGGAAUUUUGGACAAUGGGCGAAAGCCUGAUCCAGCCAUUCCGCGUGAGUGAAGAAGGCCUUCGGGUUGUAAAGCUCUUUCAGCUGGAACGAAACGGUGCGCUCUAACAUAGCGUGCUAAUGACGGUACCAGCAGAAGAAGCACCGGCUAACUACGUGCCAGCAGCCGCGGUAAUACGUAGGGUGCGAGCGUUAAUCGGAAUUACUGGGCGUAAAGCGUGCGCAGGCGGAUUGUUAAGCAAGAUGUGAAAUCCCCGGGCUUAACCUGGGAAUGGCAUUUUGAACUGGCAGUCUAGAGUGCGUCAGAGGGGGGUGGAAUUCCACGUGUAGCAGUGAAAUGCGUAGAGAUGUGGAGGAACACCAAUGGCGAAGGCAGCCCCCUGGGAUGACACUGACGCUCAUGUACGAAAGCGUGGGUAGCAAACAGGAUUAGAUACCCUGGUAGUCCACGCC